CCUACGGGUGGCAGCAGUGGGGAAUAUUGGACAAUGGGGGCAACCCUGAUCCAGCCAUACCGCGUGUGUGAAGAAGGCCCUCGGGUUGUGAAGCACUUUCAGUGAGGAAGAACGCCUGGUGGUUAAUACCCAUCAGGAAAGACAUCACUCACAGAAGAAGCACCGGCUAACUCCGUGCCAGCAGCCGCGGUAAUACGGAGGGUGCGAGCGUUAAUCGGAAUUACUGGGCGUAAAGCGCGCGUAGGUGGCUUGAUAAGCCGGUUGUGAAAGCCCCGGGCUCAACCUGGGAACGGCAUCCGGAACUGUCAAGCUAGAGUGCAGGAGAGGAAGGUAGAAUUCCCGGUGUAGCGGUGAAAUGCGUAGAGAUCGGGAGGAAUACCAGUGGCGAAGGCGGCCUUCUGGACUGACACUGACACUGAGGUGCGAAAGCGUGGGUAGCAAACAGGAUUAGAUACCCCAGUAGUC
rnacentral:rRNA from 1 species